GUGGAAAAAAACCUCCUGGAACAAGGUACCUCUGCCAGCAGAGAGCUGGAAAAUGGAGAGAGCUGCUAAGUCUGUCAUCUCCUGCUCUCAAUGCAGGCUUGGCUCCAGAUGACCAAAUGUAAAAUCUGACAUUGCCUUAUGGAUAUAUGAAACAAUGGAAUUGCUGAACAAUUAAAAAUCUGAGCUGCAGUCUUCCGUAACAAGAGGCGUUCUGAACCUGAGGAGGCAGAGAACGUGGCUGCUGGCUUCUAGG